rnacentral:rRNA from 1 species
AUUGAACGCUGGCGGCAGGCCUAACACAUGCAAGUCGAACGAGUGGCGGACGGGUGAGUAAUGUCUGGGAAACUGCCUGAUGGAGGGGGAGAACUACUGGAAACGGGCGCUAAUACCGCAUACUAUCAGAUGAGCCUAGGUCGGAUUAGCUAGUUGGUGGGGUAAAGGCCUACCAAGGCGACGAUCCGUAACUGGUCUGAGAGGAUAGUCAGGUACACGGGAACUUAGACACGGUCCAGACUCCUACGGGAGGCAGCAGUGGGGAAUAUUGAACAAUGGGCUAAAGCCUGAUACAGCCAUGCCGCGUGUGUGAAGAAAGUCUUCUGAUUGUAAAGCACGUUCAGCGGGGAGGCGUUACCCGCAGAAGAAGCACCGGCUAACUCCGUGCCAGCAGCCGCGGUAAUAC